GACGAACGCUGGCGGCGUGCUUAACACAUGCAAGUCGAGCGGAGCGGCGAACGGGUGAGGAACGAGUGAGUAACUGCCCCCCUCCCUGGGAUAACAGUUGGAAACCGGAGCUAAUACCGGAGACUUAUAGAUGGCUCGCGCUGUAUUAGCUAGUUGGUAAGGUAACGGCUUACCAAGGCAACGAUGCAUAGCCGACCUGAGAGGGUUAUCAGCCCCACUGGCCUGUGCGACGGUCCAGUCGCCUCCGGGGGGCAGCAGUGUGGAGUAUUGCGCAAUGGGGGAGACCCUUAUGCAGCAACGCCGCGUGCGGGAUGACGGCCUUCGGGUUGUAAACCGCUUUCAGCCAUUACGCGGUAGUGGCAGAAGAAGCACCGGCUAACUACGUGCCAGCAGCCGCGGUAAUAC
rnacentral:rRNA from 1 species